AGAUGGUUUCACACUGAAUUCUGCCAAACACUUUUUUAAAAAAUACCAGUUUUACAUGAUCUGUUCCAGAAAAUUGAAUGAAAAGAAAUUCUUCUCAAUAUAUUAUUUAAGUGGCCAGCAGUGAAGCCCACUGGAGGCUUCUGUGGAAUCAAGAAGACAAACUUAGCUUUGAGGCCUGGAUUUCCUAGCAUUGUGCUUUUGGAGAGCUCUCAAGCCUCAGGGAUCCUCAGCAUCUCAGAUGUGUGAAUGAUGCCAGAGAAGAAUAAGAAGAAAAGAACAGAUGCUAUGGGGAAGUGACAAGAUUUGUUAGUACACAAGAGGAAAUACCAAUAUCCUCCAGGCACUAGUAGUAACUGGAUAGAAGAUUUACAUUUUUUCCCAAUAGAGAAGUUCAUAUAUAUAAUAUAUUUGUGUGUAUAUGAGACACACACACAAAGCAAUGAGAACCAUCUUAAAACCAA